UGGAAUCUUGCAAGGACAAAGAGGAUUUGCUCAUGAACUGGUACUACUUUGACCUGCUACAAUCAAUACUUUGGAAUGAUGCUAUUAUGGGGACUUUUCCUUGUACAACUCCGUACCAUUUCUUGCUAGUAAGGCUUUGGGUCAAUUUGGGGAGAGAGAGGAGGAUGGCUGAGGGGUGUGUGUGUGUGUAGCCAUUUUGGAAGUUACUUUGAAUACUUUUUGUUAAACUAUUGCAGCAAGACAGGACAUUUUAAAAUAAUCUUAAACAGUGUCAAUAAUAUUGGUUUACAGUAAUAGACUUGGGCUGCAGCUAUCCUAAUCCUGAAUUUUGCAUCAGAAAGGCCUUUGGCAAUAUUGAAGAAAGAUUUGAUUUGAUUUAGCUGCUCCUAUUAAUGAAGCAUAAUAUAGUGCAUAUGCAUAUGUUUUUCUUGAAGUAGCAACAGUUAUGGAUGAUCGUAAAUGAUCUUUGGCAUUUUAGACUUUAAAAAUUGCUUUCAAAUAUAUUAUCCUGUUUAAUCCUUUUAUUAGGUUGAACCAUGUGAAGCUGCUGAUAUUUGAGCAUUUUGACCUACAAAAAUGAAAUGGCAAUUUCAUACAGCUCACUCUAAUAGUUUACAGAUGAGCAAAUUGAGGCUUAGCAAGAUGAAGUGGCUUCUCCAAGGUCAUUCAUUUCCACACUAAGUAGUAGAGCUGGGGCUCAAAUUCUCCUGUCUCACUCUCAUUUUCUCCCUUGCUCUGUACCUUUGUUGCAAGUUCAAGAUUCUCUAAAAAGCACUGGCCACAAAUUCCAGAGUUGAAGUACAAGUUUUUACGUAUAGUGACCCACUGGAAUAAAUGAUUUUGAAAUGCUGCUGGAUAUUUUAAGAAUAGUCUUAAAAACCUCAAAUUGGCAAAGAAAAAAAUAAUAAAUCAUCACACAAAUAGUAAUAUCCUAGCUGUGUGUUCUCUGGUUUGGAAUAUGACAGUAUCUGCAUAUCUGUCUCACUCUUCUUUAUCUCUUGAUCCCUAUCUUUUAAAACAAUUUAUUUGCUAUGUCUUUUUUUCUCAUCUUCUCUCCUUACUGCCUCCCACCGUCCUGGCCCCUGCCAUUUAUUUGUUUUGAGCUUAAGCUCUUGAGCUUCCUUCUUUCUUUAGUGGUUUCUUUCUUGGCCAAGACCUGAUUGUACCACUGACCGCAAUUCAAUUCAAUUCAUUUCACCAAAUAACAUUGUAGAACAGGAAAACUGGAGUGUGGAAUUAGACAUCCCAGUGGCAGCCACAGCCACUUGUUCUCUGAGAGCUUCCUGUUUUCUCACCUGUCUGGAAGGUUCAGGAAGAGGCUGACAGGUACCCAGUCUUGCACUGCAGCUAAUGCUGUCCCAAGAGAACACCCUUCAGACUUGAACAGCCUCCUCUCUUUGCUGGGCCAGAAUACUAUUGUGAAGUGGUGCUUUACUUAAGUCAAACCGGAGAGUACCGUGCAUAUUAAUAAGCACCCUAAUGAGCAUUAAUUUUUGAUGUUCUUCAUUAACAAGCAUUAUAAACUAUGACAAAUUUUGGUUUGACUUUGUGCCAAAAUGAGGGCGAGUUGUUUAAAGCUGGAAAUCCGAAAGCUUCCCCUGGGACUUGGAAGGCUGCUCAUUAAUACUUCUGGAGCUCCCAAAGUCAGAUGAGACAAAUAUAUGGCUGGAUCUGGUUUCCACUGCCUCUUCUCCUGCCUGCCUUCAUUACAUCUUUCUUUUCUAAGCGGACUGUCUCCCUAACUGCACCCCCCGCCGCCCCCCCCCCCACACACACUCAAAAUCACUUUUCACUUUAGACUGUUGGAAAAAAUGCUCACAUCUUGGGAGUUACUAGACCUAGUAAUUGCCUGCAAAUUUCAGAUAAUGAAACUUCCAGCUUCAAAACACAAAUGCUUGGCAGGGAUAAAUAGAUGGAUGGAAAGAUGUUUCUUUUAAUUGAGAAUUGGAAACUUCAUUAGAAUUUUUUUUAAAGAAGCCACAUUCUGUUCUACUGCUUGUUGUUAAAUAAGAAAAGUGCAAGCAAUGAUGUGUUUUAGUCAUACAUCAAACCCAAAGGAAGAAGAGGCAUGCUAGGAGGGGCAUGAAAAGGGUUUUUUUGGCUCCAAACUUGCUUUCUGUUGGGCCUGGCAAAGUGCCCAAAUUCCUGUUGUUAGAUUGCCUCUUUAGGGUGUUCUGUUUUAAUAGAGCUAAUGCUUUGUAUUACCUGGGAGGGGUAAUCCGUUAGUUACCUGGUAACAGAAUUUAAUUAUUUAAUUACACUAAUUGCCACCCGGCAGGCUUUGGAAUUAAGGGCUUAAAAUACAAAAUGUGCAGCUGGGCAAGGUGGCUCAUGCCUGUAAUCCCAGCACUUUGGGAAGCUGAGGUGGGCAGAUCACUUGAGGUCAGGUGAUUGAGACCAUCCUGUCCUACAUGGUGAAACCUUGUCUCUACUAAAAAUACAAAAAUUAGCUGGGUAUGGUGGCAUGUGCCUGUAAUCUCAGCUACUCGGGAGGCUGAGGCACAAGAAUCGCUUGAACCCAGGAGGCGGAGGUUGCAGUGGGCCGAGAUCAUGCCACUGCACUGCACUCCAGCCUGGUGACAGAGUGAGACUCCGUCUCAAAAAAAAAAAAAUAUACACACACACACACACACACACACACACAUAUAAAUAUACACACACAUAUAUAUGUAUAUAGAAUGAGCAUACCUCCUUGGAAGCAUAAUGCUAGGGUUCCUUCCCCACGUGAUGAGAUGCUCUGGAUAGCCUAGGGCAGUCAAAGGGCAGGAGGUUAUGAGGUAUCUAGGUGUGCAUAGGAACUGAAGAGUAACUUUCUCCUGCUUUCUAAAUUUCCAUGAAUCUGUCAUAGAUAUUUCCAUGCAUUAUCUACCAAAAUGAGGAUGAGGGCUAGACCUAGAAUAUAGAGAUUGAGAAUAAGGGCUUUAGCUUCAGAUAGUACUGGGUUCAAGUCCCAGCUCAACCAAUUUCUAGCUGUUUGAUCAUGGAGAAGUCACUUAACCUUUCUGAGCCUCAGCUUCCUUAUCAGGGAAAUGGAACUACCCUUAGCAUCUAACUCACAGAAUUGUGGUAUGGAUUAACAUGAGUUGAUUUGUGAAAAGUGAAUAGUACAACGUCUGACAGAUAGUAAACAUUCAAAAUAUAGUGCAUGUUGUUCUUUUGU
ensembl:lncRNA